rnacentral:rRNA from 1 species
CUGUCGUCAGCUCGUGUCGUGAGAUGUUGGGUUAAGUCCCGCAACGAGCGCAACCCUUGUCUUUAGUUGCCAUCAUUAAGUUGGGCACUCUAAAGAGACUGCCGGUGACAAACCGGAGGAAGGUGGGGAUGACGUCAAGUCAUCAUGCCCCUUAUGACCUGGGCUACACACGUGCUACAAUGGGCAGUACAACGAGAAGCGAACCCGCGAGGGUAAGCGGAUCUCUUAAAGCUGUUCUCAGUUCGGACUGCAGGCUGCAACUCGCCUGCACGAAGCUGGA